rnacentral:rRNA from 1 species
ACUCCUACGGGAGGCAGCAGUAGGGAAUCUUCCACAAUGGGCGCAAGCCUGAUGGAGCAACACCGCGUGAGUGAAGAAGGGUUUCGGCUCGUAAAGCUCUGUUGUUGGAGAAGAACGUGCGUGAGAGUAACUGUUCACGCAGUGACGGUAUCCAACCAGAAAGUCACGGCUAACUACGUGCCAGCAGCCGCGGUAAUA